rnacentral:rRNA from 1 species
UACGUAGGUGGCAAGCGUUAUCCGGAAUGAUUGGGCGUAAAGCGUCCGCAGGUGGCUAUGUAAGUCUGCUGUUAAAGAGUGAGGCUCAACCUCAUAAGAGCAGUGGAAACUACAUGGCUAGAGUGCGUUCGGGGCAGAGGGAAUUCCUGGUGUAGCGGUGAAAUGCGUAGAGAUCAGGAAGAACACCGGUGGCGAAAGCGCUCUGCUAGGCCGCAACUGACACUCAUGGACGAAAGCUAGGGGAGCGAAUGGG